GGCGCCGUCCGCCGGGUGGAGGAGCGCGGGGCUGGCGGGAGGGAGCCGGCUGGCGGUGGGUCCGGUCCCGGUCACGCCCGGCAGAUGGGGAGGUGGGUGCAGUCUGCCAUUGAGCCAGCACCCCAGAGACGCCUGUGGACCCACCCAAGGCAGCACCAGUGAGGACCCUUCCAUGCCACGGUGGACUCCAGAGGUGUAGGAACCCCCUUGGAUGUUACAGAAACACGGUCAGAGCCCUCUUCACACAGGGAAUUCUCCCUGAAGGUCUCAAAAGCUGAACUGCUUCUAAUUGACAUGCCAAAGCAGAAUCUAUUUCUCAUGUGCCCUGCACUCAGCUGUCAGUCUUGCCUGCAAUGCUGUAAAGCAGAUCCUGCUGAGAAAGAGCCUGGCUGAUGGGAGACCUGUAGUUCCUGUGCACCUCCUUGAACAUCAGGAGGAGUCAACUGGGAUGACUGGACAAGCCCAUUUCUUUCCCUUGUCCUCUAAGAUCAGGUCUGCUGUUUUGUCAUUGGAGUAUAUUUUCUAGUGUGCGUUAUAAGAAAACCCAUACAUGAAGAAAAGAAAAAAGAAGUAAAUAGAAAACAAACCACAGGCAUGGCCAUUGAUUUUUCUGGAGAAUGGAUGACCUGCCUUCUUCAAGUGUCCAGACCUGCUGCAGAGAAUAUGCAAGGUACAAGAUAAAUGCAGUUGGAGUGCAUCUUGACUUGCAUCAAGAAAUCAAAACAGGCAUGAAGGAGAAUACGGAGUGGACCGCCACACAGUGUGCAGCUCUUCUCAGUUGACCUGCAGCAGCCAAAGUUCUCCCCAACGCAGCUGUACUGAGGAUUUUAGCCAUGGUUCACUAAAGACAAGUGGGCUCAUACUCUAAGGCAUGGCAUUGGCACUUGGAACUGCAGAUAGAUGUGAAGUUGCCCUGUGAGCAUAACACCUGCCAGCAUGGCUCCCACAGCAGCCAGCACAUGCCAUGGUGUGCCCUGAGUUGCCCAGCCCUGUUCCUGCUGGGACUCAUGCUCCUGGUUCUUCUCUGCAUUUCUCUGCUGAGGUGAGACAGCCUGGUGCUGCAGACUUGCAGCAGUAGGGUGUGCUGCAGUUUGUUAACCUGGUACUCACAGUGCUCAUCUGGAACACAGGAAAACCUGGGAUCCCAUUUCUCCUGUGGCUGGGAAGGCCAAGGAUUUCUGGGCACAGCUGGUUUGCAUUCCCCAGAGGAGGAAUCAUUGUUCCCGCAGCAGACACUGUUUGCUUUGCACAGCUAUGGAAGCUGGCCACAGGGCCGGAGGCAGCAGCAAGACCCUUGGCGCUGUCACAGAGCUGCUGGUGGCUUUGCCUGCAACUCCGAUACCCAGUGGCAGUGCUACUCCCAGCGAUGCUUGUGGUGCGAGGUGGAGCACCCACAGCCAGAGGCUGUGUGCUGCACAGCUGCUCGCCUUUGUACUGAGGCACGACUGGAGUGAGCAAGAUGUGGGACACAAGGUCCUCCAGGCAGAGUCUUAAUUAGAUCCCUAAUCUAAUCUGAUUAGAUAGAUGAACUCUAUCUAACCUGUGGUCACUGAGCAAGAGGACAUUGCUUGUAGGCUGAGGCACCCAUCUCCAGGAGGCAGUUCAUGGCUGUGAGUGAUGCUUCCAUGGGAAACAAAAGUCGGUGGUGGCAGGUGAGCAGAGACACAGUGAACUGUGGAGCAGGCGUCUGCGCACAAAUAUCUAAAAAGGCUGGAGCUAUCUCACCUUUCUUGUUGGCAUGAGAUGAUUCCACUUGGCACUAUGUGACGUCAACAUGCUAAGUUUAAUUUUGGAUCCAAAGCAUUAGACUAGCGUUUCCACAGAAUUUUGGGACUUUGGAAAUGUUCUGUUGUUUUACAGCACAAGCUCAUGGAAUAAAAUCAUCCUUCAGGGACAAAAUAAAACAGAUGAAAAAUAAGCACUCAUGUAAGGUCUGAAUGUUGAGGCAGUCUCAAAGCGGUGGUCUUUCUGCUUGUUUUCCAUCAAGUUCAGGACCAACUCUGAGGAGGAUUUGACUCAGUUUAGGGAGGCAGAAAAAAAUUGUAUGCUUUAAAUAAAAGGAGAACCGCUGAAUAAGAAGAUUUUACAAAAAGCUAUUUAUUUUCCUAGGCAAGACAUCCAGAUCAAAAGUGAGUGGUGAUU